AUACAAGGGCAGUGUUCUGAAGGCCAGGUUGUAGUUCCUAGCUUCGUCACCAGGUGGCGCGGCCGUUUGUGAGUAGCAGUUCUUUUUUCAUACCAAAACAUUGUUUGAGAAGCCGUGCAGGUCAGCGGAUGUGGUGUUUGAAGGUGGUUUUGUUAUUUUGUUCGAGUGUGCGUCCAUAUGAAUGAACCACACACAAAUGUCUACAAACUUCAAUCCACGCACAUCCUGCCUGUAAACCAGUUGUCACCGGCUGAUUAAAGAGUCAAACCAUCA